AGGCAGAGUUGCAGUCUAACGGUGAACUAUUGAUAAUUAAUAAAUAUUGUGAGGACCAAAAAAAUGUUAUAAUAGAGGAACCACUACAUACAUUAUUAACCUUGGAUGUUCAGAAAAUGGAUAAUAUAGAACUUAGUGCUGAUAAUAAUAUUAUUAUGAUUGAAAAAAAUGCAUUGCAAAAUUUUGUUGAGAUUCCAAUUGAAGAUUCUUUUGAACAGGGAACCAGCAAGAAUUUUUCCAACACACAAGAACAAGAGGUGACACCUGAUAUUGACGAUGAUCAUUUUAUCUCUAACGAUUCAGAUCAAGGUUCCAAUUAUGAUCCUGAAAACGAAACUUCUGGGUCCAGUGAGUAUUCAUCUGAAAACGGCGAGGACGUAAGCGGUGAAAGUGAAGUAGAUAGAGAUAAUGAAGAUUCUGCGAAGAAACGAACUAGAAAAGUUUUAAGAUACCCAGAAACAUGGAAAAGAUCCAUCGCCAAAAAAAGAAGAAACGAGGGGUUAGAAUAUGUUAAUGUAUCGGAUAAGUCAAGAACAACGUAAGGCAAUCCAUAAAAGGUUUUGGAAAAUUGGAGAUAUUUAUCGCCAGAGAGAUUAUUUUUUACAAUGUAUGGACCCAAUAACUCCUAAGUACCUAUAGAAUGCGCACCCCUAAUAGCAACCGGUCCAAAAAUUAUGCAAACCAUUUUGAGAUCGAAGGGGAAAGAACCAGGGUAUGCAGUCAUUUAUCUGAGCACUUUGGAUAUCAGCAAUAAGCUUAUGUUCACAGCAACAAAAAAAAAAGAUGGGAGCGGUAUUCUGAUGCCAGACAUGCGCGGAAAGCAUAAAAAGGGUGGUAAAAAUGUAACCGACGAAAUAAAAGGUGAAAUCAUAUAAAAUCUUUUCCAACAAUGCCUGCAGAGCCCAAACAAAUAAGAGCUACAUAAAUGGAAGCCUUAAUAUUGCGUCAAAGUACAGACUUUAUAAGGCAAACUGCGAAGAACUUAAGAAACCGUUUGCCAAGCAAAACAUUGUUACAGUUUAUUUUCGUCAGAUACAUAAAGAAUAAGAAAAUAAAAUAAAUCUAAAAUGUUAGCGAAAGCAUAGCUCGAUUAUAGAACUUUAAGAGACAAUUUCUAAAUUAUUCUGGUGCUAAAAUUAAUAAAAUAAACAGUUAUCAUUUCAGUAUUAAUUCUAUUUUUGAUAUCAAUAAUUUUCAACCGUUAUGAUGAAACUCAAAUUAUUAAUCAUAACAUUAAUUUUUUUUUUAAUUGUUUUGAUUUCACUAAUGUCAGAAGUCAUAUCCUCCCAGCUCAUUCUCCUAUAUCCCUACUAAAACCAUUUCUGGCGCGAAAAUCUUUGACCUCUAGGAGUCUUGAAGAACAAGCCUUUGAAGAAGGUUGUUUCUUGGUAUUUUUGCCGAUUUUACUCCCAUGAAAAGUUGAAAACUCACCUUUUGGGUAUUUUAGUUUGUGGAUACUAAAUGCCAUACUGCAAUAGUGCAGGAUUAUAAGUGGUGUAGUUAAAUCCCAACUUUUUCAAGGUUCUUUGUUUAAGUGUCCAGUUUUGUGUUCCCGAGAAAAGGCCAAUUCCAUUGGUAAGUCCUAAUAUUUUGAUUUGGCAUCUUGGUUUAUGAUAAUCUACAUAUUACACAUGUAAUUUUAUAUAAGUAGACUCACGCAUACCGUUAAGUUUAACCAUCAAUGCUUAUAUCUACUUACUCUAUUGGCGAUUCCUCAAUCUGGGUAUUCUUCCACUUUCAGGCUUUUUCUUUUAUCCCCCCCCGUAUGGUCUUUAUCCACGAUUAUAAGAGGUAGAAAUCUCCACUCAUCUACUCCAAUAACGUCCACAAUCAUCUACAUUGACAUUUACUGUUAAACCGAUCCACCCAGGUCCCCCACCGCAAUCAUGCAGCCCUUUUGGAGCCAGGUUUGAUUAAUGUUUGUGACGUUUAGUGAACCAUGCAGUCAGUAAAACAACCUAACCAGUAAACCAAAGUCCUGUCAACAUUGAUUAGCUUUACUGUAGUAUAUUAGAUUAAAUACUAACCUCAAAAUUACAUUGUUACCACUCUGAUCAUUAGAUUUUACUACAACACCAUUGUUUUGAAUAGUUUCAUAAUAACUAGGUACAUAUUAGUUAUUUUAUUGAAAUAGACCGUAUAGAUCUUGUAAACUGGAUAAAUAGGCCUAUUUCGAAAGUACCCAUGCAAACUUUUAGCCCCAAACAACAUAAUACAAGAUUUUAGUUUUGAUAUAAACACUAUAUUUAGGAAGGGCAACAUAACUUGUUCUUAGAAUAAUAAGUUUGAUUAUUAAUUUUUCUUUUAAUAUAGAUUCACUUAAAACUGUCUGUUCUUCCUUGUGAGAUUUUAUUUCAGGUUUAUAGGUAGGUAUAGUGCUUUUAGUAAUUUCCUGUUUUCUUGGUCAUCGGGAUUUUCUUAUCCAUCUGGGAUAAAACAGGUGGCGCUUAUAUUUUAUUCAUGUCUUGUUGAAUCCACGCCACUCUACCAAAGUGGUUAGUGCUAGUCGGCUUCCCUUUGAGAAGAUCCCCUGAGCUGUCUCUAUAGCCUAUAGUAAGUCUCCCUCCUUCCAUUGGUUCCCUGGUACCCACUUCCUAACCCUCACUCCCCAUAUCUUUACUCUCCUUUUUCCUUCCUGUUAUUCUCCAUCCCUCUAUUCAAAUUUCAUUUAAUCCAAGUAUAAUUAAAGCAAUAUUAAAGUAAUAAAUUUCUAUUGAUUAA